CAGCCGCCGCGGUAAUACGUAGGGUGCGAGCUUUAAUCGGAUUUACUGGGCGUAAAGCGUGCGCAGGCGGCCCGUUAAGACAGGUGUGAAAUCCCUGGGCUCAACCUAGGAAUUGCGCUUGUGACUGGCGGGCUCGAGUACGGUAGAGGGGGGUGGAAUUCCUGGUGUAGCAGUGAAAUGCGUAGAGAUCAGGAGGAACACCGAUGGCGAAGGCAGCCCCCUGGGCCUGUACUGACGCUCAUGCACGAAAGCGUGGGGAGCAAACAGGAUUAGAUACCCUGGUAGUCAACGCCCUAAACGAUGGGUACUAGCCGUUUGGUGCGCGAUAGCGCUGAGUGGCGAAGCUAACGCGUGAAGUACCCCGCCUGGGGAGUACGGCCGCAAGGUUGAAACUUAAAGGAAUUGGCGGG
rnacentral:rRNA from 1 species